UUCCUCUGUUUGCCUCCCAUGCGCGCUCCCUCUCCUCCACCAGCCUGCCAGUUAACUGGAGACCAGGGUCUGCAUCCCAUCUUUGGUAACUCCCACUGCCCGGGAUGCAAGGGAUAUUCACAAACAUUUCUUUGUCACCUGCAGCCCCAAAGCCUUUGGAAAGGUCACUGUUAGCAUUGUCCAUAACAUUCCCCAGAAGAAAUUCCCUCGAUCUUAGUCAACCAGAGAGUCCACACUCUGGAGUGGUGGGACUGAAUUUUCCACUCUCUGCUUUCCAUGACCUGUCCUGAGAAUCUGUGUAGAGAAGGCUUUUCCAAAGUUGCUGUGCUGUUAUAGUAGGUACCCUUGCUAAAACUCGGCUCGGCGACUGCCACUGUGCCUUGUCCUUCCCACAUGUGUGCCCACUAGUUAGUGUUCGCCGUCUUGACACAAACUACAGUCACCUGGAAGAGGGAAUCUCAGCUGAGCAAUUGCCUCCAUCAGCUAAGCCUUUGGGCAAGUCUGUGGGGGCAUUUUCUUGAUUCAUGAUUGAUGAGGGAGGGCUCAGCCCACUGUGGGUGGUGUCAUCCUCUGGGCAGGCGGUCCUGCGCGGUACAAGAAGGCUGAGCCAGUCUCCGGGAGCAAGCCAGUAAACGGUGCUCCCCCAACGGCUUUGCUUCCGUUCCCGUCUCCAGGUUCCUGCCUUGAGCUCCUGCAUGGCUUCCCUCAGGGAUGGGCUGUGAUAGGAAAGGGACACCAAAGCCUUGAGCCUCUAGAGAUGGGGAAGAAGCCGUUGCUUCUCAGAGAUGACCACAAUGGGACACUAUCAGGCUGGGAUUGUGAAAUUGCCUCGGUCAGUUGUUAAUGGAUGAAGAUGGUGAAGAUGGAUAAAAGGAGGAUGUCAGCAGAGGUAGAAACUUCUAAAAACAGCAACAAAAUAGAAAUUCAAGCAGCAAAACCCACAGCAUCAGAGGUGAAGAAUCCCUUCAAUGGCCUGAUCUACAGGCCACACAGCUAAGGGAAUAACAAAUGAACCAAAAUAACCAAAAUGUAUUGGGUAAUUGCGUUCCCUGAGAAAGGAUGAAUGGUAGCAAUGAGACGGGACAAAGUAACUACCUUAACAGUGGGCUUAAAGCCAAGCACAAACAAUGACAUGAAUGCAAACAUCUCAGAAGGCGAAUAAACACUAGCAAAGGCAAAGGCCUCACCAUCAGUAAGAUAAAAUCAGAACGAGGAAUAUUUCUAGAAACAAGGGGAAACAUUCCAUCGGGAAGAUAAAGACAACUUCAAUGUGUGUGUGUCCUUCCCAAUACAGAAGGCUGUCAGCGACAAAAGAAAUAGAGACGAAGCCAUUCUUAAAGUUGGACCUGUAAGCAAGUCAA